UACAGAGGGGGCAAGCGUUGUUCGGAAUUACUGGGCGUAAAGGGCGCGUAGGCGGCCCGUUAAGUCGAACGUGAAAUCCCCAGGCUCAACCUGGGAACUGCGUCCGAUACUGGCGGGCUUGAAUCCGGGAGAGGGAUGCGGAAUUCCAGGUGUAGCGGUGAAAUGCGUAGAUAUCUGGAGGAACACCGGUGGCGAAGGCGGCGAUCCUGGACCGGCAUUGAC
rnacentral:rRNA from 1 species